AUAUAUAUAUAUAUAUAUAUAUAUAUAUAUAUAUGUACCAGGCAGCUAUACUUUAUUAGUGAAUUAGUGAGUAAACAUUGUUGGUUUGUGUCUGCCAGAGGGCCCAUUGUUUUUUUGACAUUUGGAUAUAUAACACAACCAGAUUUAACCCCAGAAUAAUUUAUUUGUAAAACAUAGGUUAUAUUAUGAAAAAGUAUAUAUCUUUGAUUUCUGGCAUUUUCACCUAUGAAUGUUAGUUGCCGUCUAAAACACACAUAUCAAUUACCUUUAGACACAUUAUUGCAUUUCUUACUAGAACGUGAGUGAGAUGUAACUUAUGGUGCAUCUUAGCUUCAGAUUGCAUCAUUUACCAAGUAGGAUCUCCCAACAUGGCCCAGAUAUCAGUUUCCUGCUACAGACAGGGGUGUCCCAACCGGAUUUACAUACAGCCCCAACAACACAGACACCCAGGCGUACCACAACGCCAAACACAAGCUCAAUAUUUCAUGGCCGUAUGAAAUAUGCCUUAAUGUGUGCACGGCAUCUGCCAUCUUUGUGGCUUUGCAGCCCCCAGGAGGCCCGUUUGAUCUGUAAUUGGGAAGUGUGCUGAAUUAAUCAGCAGUUUAUGCACUUUUUAAUUUAAACAUAUAUACACAUAUAACACAUAGAACCUUACAAUGUUAUCUUUUAUACUAUUGCCAGGUAACAUUUUGUUAAUAUGCAUACCAAACAUGUGUAGGUGUAGGUACUCUUUGUUUGUUUGUUUGGGGGCCUUGUUUUCUUAUUAAAUACUCAACGCAACGGCCAAAUUAUAAUUCACUAAUGUAAAAAUUCACAUUACACAAGUUUUUAAUACAUUUUUUAAUUUUGCGCACAACAAUGUGAACUAAACACACAUAGCACGACGCAAGGAAUAAGCAUCGGAAUGCAUUGCUGCUACAGGAAGUAAAACCUCAUAUGGAAUUUGUCUUCGAACCUCUGUGUAAUUUCCCCCUCUUGGUGAAACAGAUGUGAUUGGUCAAGCCACAGAUACCACAGGGACCCCUUUAUAGACAGCUUGUGUGUUAAAGAGCACAAACUGCUUUUGCGCUACCAAGAAACCCAACAGUCCUUAUGAUUGUAAUGGCAAAAAUAUAUGUAACCCUUCAAAUAUUUCAAUGUACGAACAUAUUUUCCCUUGUCUGAGCAAAAUCUUCCACCACAAUUUGGUGUGGGAUCGUUUGAAGUUCCGUCGGAACUCUAUGGUCGUCCGGACAAAUACCCCAUCAGUCUCCGAGAGAGGGGUCCAGUGACCAAAAGAGGCCUGAUUGACUUCAACACAAUCCAACCGAGGAAGAUUUUCACUCAAAUCAGGUAAGAAAUUGAUUUCAAACAGAGCAGAAAGUGUAUGUGCAUGUGAAGGGAGUGACCGGUGGAGAGGAAUGUCAGAGUUAGUCAGAGGGGGACCCGGGCUCGGUUGAUGAGCCCGCCUACAGACGGGAAGAAACUGUUUGUGUGGCGGGAGGUCUUAGUCCUGAUGGACCUCAGCCUCCUGCCAGAUGGAAGGGGCACAAACUGUUUUUGUCUGGGGUGAGAGGGGUCGGCUACGAUCUUUUUGGCUUGCUUCAGGGUCCUGCAAGCGAAUAAGUCCUGGAGGGUCCAGGUUGUUUUGGCUGCACUGCGUCACCAGAUGGUCAGACUCCCACCUGCAGGCGGACUCAUCCCCACCAGAGAUCAGUCCAAUGAGGGUGGUGUCAUCCGCAAACUUUAGGAGCUUGAUGGACUGGUGCUGGUGCUGCAGGAGCAGCUGUUGGUGUACAGGGAGAAGAGCAGAGGGGAAAGAAGCAGCCUUGGGGGGAACCGGUGCUGAUGGUCCGAGAGUCUGAGACAUGUUUCCCCAGCUUCACGUGCUGCUUCCUGUCAGACAGGAAGUCUGUGAUCCACUUGCAGGUGGAGUCGGGCACGUGCAGCUGAGAGAGUCUGUCCUGAAGCAGAGACGCGAUGAUGACGCUGAAAGCAGAGCUGAAGUCCACAAACAGGAUCCUGGCGUAGGUUCCUGGGGAGUCCAGAUGCUGGAGGAUGAAAUGGAGGGCCAUGUUGACAGCAUCGUCUACAGAUCUGUUGGCUCUGUAGGCGAACUGCAGGGGGUCAGGAGGGGGUUAGUGAGUGUUUUCAGGGGGCCAGGACUAGCUGUUCAAAAGACUUCAUGACUUCAGAGGUCAGGGCGACGGGCCUGUAGUCAUUGAGUCCUGUGAUCCUGGGCUUCUUGGGAACAGGUAUGAUGGUAGAGGUCUUGUCUUGAAGCAGGCUGUCUCCAGGGAGGUGUUAAAGAUGUCUGUGAACACCGUAGACAGCUGAUCAGCACAAUGCUUCAGGGGGGAGACGGAGUCCGGACCGGCUGCUUUGCGAGGGUUUUGUCUUUUAAAGAGCCUGUCUCUCUCCAGAAUAGAGAGGGUUGUUGCUGGUGAGGGGGAUGGAGGAGUGGAGGCUGAUACAGAGGCGUGAGCCUCUGAUCGGCGGGGGGAGGGAGGGGUGAGGGUCUGGGGCAGGAGAGUGGACCUGUGGGUAUGGAGUCAGGACAUUGACUAUCAAAUCUGCAGUAGAACCCGUUCAGCUCGUCUGCUAGGGGGAGGUCAUUCAUGGAGUGGGGGGAUUUUCGCUUGUAGUUUGUGAGGGGUUUAAGGCCUCUCCAAACUGAAGCAGAGACACUGAGAACAUGUUGUUGUUUCUCAGAGUACAGUCGUUUAGCUAACCGUGUAUUUUGACUCUGUGUACAAGUUUUGUCCCCACUCCUAAAUGCCUGAUCCUUCUGAAGUCGUAGUUUUCUGAGUUUAUCUGUGUCAUAACUACCCUGGUGCAUGAUGGUACAGAGCAAAUUUCUGUAUUCUCUUUCUGUUAAAUUGACUCUAUGAGAUUCAAAUGUAACUCUACGCUGGUGUUCAUAUUGCCCCAAUCUUGUCAGUGUUAAAUCAACUCAAAGUGUUAAAAAUUUAACUCGGAAUAGGAAUAUAAUAUAUUAUAUAAUAUAAUAAGAAAAUAAAUCUAAUCAAAUGUUAAAUACACUGUACGAGUUAAACCCAACACGAAGAAGUGUGACAGUGGUGUAGAAUUACAUUUCAAACCCAUCAAAGAGUCGAUUUAACUGUACUUUAAGUGUCAAAUAAAUCUAAAUAAUAAAUCUGAUCAGUGUUAAAUACUCUAUGCAGAGUUAAAAACCCAAGUCAUUGACACUGGGUUAUGACUCCAGCUCUUUCGUACAGUUGACUCUGUAACAGUUGAAUCAACUUUUUGCAGUGUGAGUUCAACACUGCACUUUUGCCAGAAAAAAACACCGGAAAAUGAACUCUAAGGAUUUUGCUGUGUACGCAGCUGUCCUCACAGAAGGUACUGUCUCUGUGAACUCAUCCAGACUGUUGGUAGCAGUCUUGCAAACAUCCCAGUCUGUACAGUCCAGGCAUGCCUGAAGAUCCUCCAGGUCUACUGGACUGGUUCACUUCUUGAAUUCCCUCACCACAGGUUUGCAGAGCUUUAGUUUCUGCCUGUAUGCAGGAAUCAAGUGGACCAUGAUGUGGUCAGAGUGUCCCAGCGUAGCACGAGGGACGGCGUGAUUUUUCCCCCAAUGCCCGAUUGACUUGAAAUUUGCAGAUCCUUUCAAAUCCUGGACAGAGUGGAUCUUUAUCUUUGACAUCCGGUACGAAGUUAAGCUGGACACGGGCCGGAUCUGAUCUUUGACCAUGAUACGUUCCGGAUCAGUUCCGCUCUGCUUCUGGAGCCUGCCCUGGACCGUUGUUGUGGAUCUGUUCUGGAGUUUAUGAUAUCUCCACGGCGGAUCCGGAGCGGAGUACUUUUGCUAUCUGGGAUACCGCAUGUUUCUUCUUUUCUUUAAAGCCGUAAAACUGUUUUUCCUUUUAGCCAUUACAUGUGUUGCGCAAUAGUUGAGAGCCUAGGGAGCUGAAAGCUAAACCAUUAAUCUAAUGUGAAAUUAUAGUGGUUCCCAUUUCACAUUUACCAUACCUGUGAUAAUACCUUCCUAAACAGCUCAAUAGACUCAGAUUGUGCCCAAAAAUCUCACAUUCACAAAAGAAGUUAUAGCAUCAAUACAAUUUCUGUUCAGCGGUACGUUGCGUUCAGAAUGAAAUGUGAUAUGUGUAAAAAUGUGUUUGUAUGACCGGAGCUUGUGCUGCUGUCUGUGGUAAAAAAAGGGAUAUUUACAGAAAAGUAAAAUCAGAUAUGGUUGCAACUGUGAGGAAUGACGAUGGCAGAAUAGCAAUACUGGAACAGAGUGGGGCUACAAUCCUCGACCGCAGCUAAAGCCACAUCUGGUAAAAGCUGAUCCCAAAUGCAAACAAAAUGACCCAUUGACGCUUAAAUUACACUUAAAAGAAACAUUUCUUGCCCAAUUCACUGGCAUAGACACAGGGUAAACUGAUACAAAUCUAUGGUUGAAUUACACAACCGCCAGCAUGCAAGACACUAAUCGCAUAUUUUCUGCCUGAAUCAAUCGGUUUUCACACAACAGUUGAUUAAGUUCACAGCAAGAAAAUACAUGCAAAGUACACAUUUUUGUGAAAAAAACAUACUUACCACAGCACCAGCACAAACUUCUCCUUGGAGGGGCUUGAAAACAUAAUGGUUACAUGACCACAAAUGUGUUCCGUUGCCUUGAUACAGUGGGUCUCUCACAUUACCCGAUGUCUCACACUACCCCGCUCUCCCCUAAUCUGAUAUUUCUUGUGGUAACGUUACAGAAUCUAACUAACAACAACUAACCCCAAAAGGAUGACAUCUUUGAUUUCCUCCAGUUUCUUCAAGAAGGUUUGUCUCAUAUAUCAUGCAUACAUUUGUAAACUACAAAUUUAUGCACUCAAAAAGCUUACAUAAUCUGUAUGAUAAUUUAAUGACAUUUCUUUUUAAUUUCUCUAUCUCUACCGACGGAGAAAAUUUGUCUGCAGGCUCAACAUCUCAGUGAAGGUGGGCUAAUCUUGACUGAUACAUCAGAUACUGAGGUCGAUGCAGACAUAUUUGAUGAGUCAGAAAAAGUCACAGGUCCAAAAAUUCAAGAUUGAUAAUUGGCAGUACAGUAACAGGUAUGGUUACUUAAUAAUGUCAAGGAGUUGAUUCACUCUUGGUCAAAUGUGCAUAAUAGUUUUAUCUAAAUAAUCUUUUUUAUUAAUCAGCAUAUGAAAAUGUAUAUUUUGUUCCUUUGUGCACCAGUUUUUAAACUUGUGGAUUAUUUUGUGUCAGAUGAACCCCAGACAUUGGUGUUCCCAGACCAUCAAGCAUCACAGCCCUCAUUGCUGCCGACCUAGCAUCACCAGCUUCCUCCAUUUCAUCAGAUUUCAAUAUUAUCCUCUCAUUCACAAAUAACAGAAAAAGGGGCCUGGCAGAGCUGGAUCCCAAUGAAGGACAGGUAAACUUUGAAACUAAGUUAAAAAAUAUUUUGAGUUUAAAGAUUUAUGUAUUUUAGCAGAAUUUAAUUAAACAAAGCCUACUGUCUAAAAUACAUUUUAAUUUACCUAAGAGUGAAGGUAAUUGGGGGAUUUUUUUCUCUUUUGCAGAAGGUUGCUACUGUUCUCAGAUCCAAUCCAAAGGGUGAAGAAAUCUUCAGAGUAUGACAAAACUAAAACGCUGUCAGAUGCAACACGUAGACAUGUGGUCAGAAAUGACACAAUCAUAUUUUUGUGUUUGACUUUUUUGUAUAUGUAUGUGUUUGCAUGCGUGAGCAGCAACAAUUCUAUGAUCCUACACAAGUAUAAUUGCUUGCACUGUUAACACACUGUACUUUGAUGAACACUUUAAUGCCUACAGUAUGGAGGAGCAAAGUAAUGAACAUGUUCUGAUUUGUAUUGACUCACUGAUGUAUGUUAAACCUUUUGAUAAGCAAUACUCUAAUGGCAGUGACAAAGCAUACAUUGUUCCAUAUUGUUGAAUGUUUUGAAAAGAUUUUUAACAUGUUGAUGUGAAGCACUAGUUUGAAAAUAAAUGUUAUAAAACAAAAAUUACACUUUUCCUUUAGCAAACCUUAAUUUCGAAGUAUUUUUUGUAAAGAGACAGAUGUAUACCUCCAUUGAGUUAAAAUGGGAGUGACACUAGUAGUUAACAAACCAUCCCUUAAGAGAGUUAAUUGUUAACACUACAAACAAGUGUUAGGAAAAAUGAACACUGCUUAGUGUUACAGAGAAUUGAAUUUAAACUGCCAAAAUAGUAAGAAUUAAGUGCCAACUCUCUAAAUAGAGUGAAAUCAAGACUUUGUGGUGUGGACCCUUAUACACUCUUCUAAAGUGUUAAAAAUCUAAUCUAACAGUGUUCAUUUGGCUCUGCCGAAGUAAAAAACGUAGAGGGCCGAGACAGUUUAACACAGUCUCACAGUCUGACCCACAGGGCGACUGAGUACAGUCGUCCUCCAAUCAAAGGGUUGGCAAUGAGUAUAUUCUUUUAGAUGGUGUGGAGGCUAAGCCAACGCUUUAAGCCACUGGAAACUUAAUUGACGCACCGCCGUUGUACCAUGACGGAUAAUUGAGAGUCCUGUAGCCUUUUUUGUUACGUUGCAAACGAGUCCAUUCAUUUGCCAACUUAUUCUUGUCAUACGUUUGACAUACAUUCAACCAGCGUGCGUUACAUGACACUACCCAGCGUGCAGUCAAAAACGUUAUUUUCUAUCCCGGCUGAAAACACCUGCCGAUCCCCCAAAGGUUCCUACCCUAUAUAGGCUGACCCACCCAUCAAUCAGAUCCCGACACACAUCAUAUUGGCUUAUACAGAUGUGUUUUGAGAAGACUACUGUAACAGACUCAGGAUGAGAGAGCCCGAUGACAGACUUGUGCAUGAGACGAACUAAGAAAAAUAGAAAUGAAUGACACAGGCAGACGUGUGGCUUCUUUUGUCACAAGCAAUGCAAUUUAUUUCCCAAUCUAAGUUGAAGCAAGCAUCUCCACAUGUCUACAUUUUUGCCUGACAACUUAGUUCAAAAAUACAAACAAUACAAAUUCACAAACCAAGCCAUAAAGGCUUGCAUGACUAUCAUGGAUUAAAUCCGUAUUUUUUUGUCAACAUAACCGUGACUUUGCACUUUGGCAAGGUGCCCACCAGUGCUGUAGUGGUAAAAUUAUAGGUGGGUAAACUCUUUUGUGAUCAUACAGACCUCGACGCAAUGCGAAGCAACGCAACACAAAGCGUUGCGACUCUGUAAGGCUGUCCUGGCUAUAUUGCAUUAUGUUAUCAGUAAAAGUCAUAUACAAUCAAUGACAAUGAAUAAAUGUGUUAGUAGUUUGUAGUUUAUUAAAUUUAAGAAAACAGUAAAGAAAAGUAUGUCAACACAACAACACAAUUGCAGAUUAAGAACUAUCUACAUACGGAGUGUCCUUUUUACAGUAGUGCCCAGAGGGCCUUCUUGUCCUUCACGUCAGGUCGUGCCUUGCACAGAGGAGCCAUGAACCCCAGAACACGCGUUCUGGGGUUCAUGGCUCCUCUGUGCUUCUCCUCUCUCUAUUGGACCUGGUGUUUCUCCUCUCCCUGUGCUCUCUGCAUCAUUGCCUGUCCUCUCACUGCCUGAAAAAAUAUGUUGAAUUUAAGAGUCAACCAGUUAAGCAGCCUGUCAAUUACACUGACAACAUAAGUUAAAGGAACACUCAUGUACUACCUAUGUUUUUUUCACAUUGAGAACUGACUUGUUUUCUAAUCUACGCGUCACCAGGCGUUUUUCUUGUCAUUUUACCGUGCACGACCAGCGAACACAGAGCACGCGACUACUACCCCCCCCGUCGGUCGUUCCGCCCGCAACGACUACUACACCCGAGGGAAAGGACUGUUAGAAUUCUCUUGCAGCCGCUUUGAAAAGUCACUUCAGACUUGGUCAGAGAAUUCUCUAUUUUGCGAAAUAUUCCACUGUUCGCAUUGUAUUUCACUUUAACUGUAUUCCUUAUCACUUUGUUCAGUUAUUAAAUAUUUUUAGAUUUUUAAAUGAGCAAGUUGACUCUUUCAAUUCUUCAUUUCCGACCGGGACGAGAACAAAAGAGUGAGGCCUCAUUUGAGGGUUUUCUGAACCCUUAACACACAAUAAUAACUGGAGUCGGGAUACAGGCACAUUGUUUAGUCCACAACUUUUCUUUUAACAUCUACCCUUCUCCCGUGACCAUUUUUCCAAUGAGUUGGUUGUUUUUCGUCAGCCCGUUGGAAAAGACAAUUACAAAAUGAUGCUAAUGUUGCUAAACACAAAGUUAUAAUAUAAUAGCCAUGCUACCAAAGGGGCCAAAAUCUUCUUAUGCAACUUUGUCAUAUUCUCAUUCUCAUUCUUUUCUCCCAGCACACAUGCUGCCAUCUAUCAAUAGCGUCAAAUAAGAAUGGAUUAUUCAAAAGGAUAACAGCAUAGAUCAAUGCUUCCUGAAAAUGUAGAUUGAGUUAAGUUCAAUGGUUGUGAGAUGUUCUGUUGCUGCACAGCCUUAGAGGUAUUUAUAGAUAAACAUGUUAAUACAGUACAUAAAAUGUGGCUUUCUGUUGCCUCUGAUGUUGCUAUAUUUUUAGUAAACGCAUCAAAUAGCAUGCUGUAAUAGCCAUAGCAGAUGUGAUAUAAUAAAUUGUUGCAGUGAAGAUCAAUGUCUGUGGCAAUAGACGAGGGAGGAAGUUUCAUUGUUCCUGCUCUCUGUGUUUCCACUGUUUUAGGCAGGUCCCAGGCAGCAUAUAUGACAAAUGGCAACCAUUCUGGAGUCACUAUUUGGUACUUGGCAUCACGGCAGACUGGGGGCCUUAGGCCAUCAGGUCUGAGAUGGCGGAUGUUCCCAGCGCACACCAAACGGUACCCCUAGGGGUCUCCACUCUGCCUAGAUGGAAAGGAGGCACAAUAAAUCAGGCCGUCUGGGAGGCUACGCUUUGCCUCGCUAUCCAUCUGAGCCCCCGCCCCAUGAUGGGAUGGACAGGGCAAUGGGUGUUGGGAGGCAAAGGGUGGGAGGGGUUCACAUACCUGGAGAGAGGGAGCGAGAGCUGCAGGGAGGCAUUUCAGGUCGGAGGUCUAUACCAGUCCAAUGACCCAGUAACACAGGAGCCAGGAAACACUGUGAAGAGGAGAACCACUAGAGAAUCUGCAUGGAGUCAGGGAAAGGAGCUACAGUGCAUUAGUAUUUUCUGUUCAAAAUAAAAAACUUUAGAUUAGGUCACCUUAAUUCAGAGUGACUGACAUGAUUAAUUGGUGUGCAUUCUAAAACAGAAAGUAUUUAUUUUUUCUUUGUACCCUUUUUUUGGAGCUAACCUAACUAACAUUUUUCAAGGAAGGUAGGAUUGGUAGAAAAAAUGUAAGUUUAAAGCAACAAAGCUGUGCAAAGCAGGCAACCAAACUUGCAAAUGGGCAGAUCUAAUACAAAAAUGAAUACAAUAUUUGUCUGUAUUUAUUUAUAAUCAUAUUCUGUUAUUGGAACAUUUUUAUUUAAUGUUGUUUUUUGAACAGAGAAAAUGAUUUAAUGAAGAUUAAAUGUUUGAGGGUCUAUAUACAUAUUUUUUUAUAUAUAUCUUUUUUUUAAAUCCAGACUCUUUUAUUGGUCGGGGAAACAGUGACGUGGAUCCUAGGCUCUGACCAAUAUGGAAAGGAGACAUAGGAUGUUUGUAACUUAAAGAAAUCCAUUAUAAUGCAACCUAGAAGCUAAACUUGGAGGUGUGCAGUGGCACAAGCUUUCAGCUAAUUUAUGAUAACGUGUUUGGCUGCUUGAGCCAGUCAAACACUGCAGCCAUAUGGGCCGGCAUCCACAGAAACGUCAAGUGAGCCGACGCUUAAAAUAUAAUUCACCCCUAUUCAUUGGGCUAUUGGGCUUUUACACCCCAAAAAGUAUGGCGACAGACCAAUAUUCAAAUUCAUAAAACAUUAUUUUAGUAUUUAUAAUAACAUAUGCAGUUACACUACUGUACUGUUUUUAAUGGCAGGUUUUUUGAUGGCUCACAAAACAGAGGGCUUUCCUCCUGGGGACUGCUGUAAUACCACAUUAACUCAAUAUUUUGUAGCUUUAACAUAGCCAUGUAGUUGAGUUGAAGUGUUUAUGUUUAGUUUGAAUUUACAAUGUUAACCAAAUGUUUCAAACUGUUUUAUACUCCCUCGGAACGUGAUUUUGUCGGAGACACUGCUGGAUAGAGGCAGUUUCUUUCUUUUUUUAUGUACUUGCCACAACAGUUGUAGUUGUAGUGUUGGUAGUCAAAGGGAGUUCCACUGGACUGAGGAGAGUCACACUGCUUCAAAGUGAAACAACUGCAGGGCAUGGUAUCUGAUACGAGCCUCCUCCUCCACCCUUCAAACAAUUCAAUCAGGAGGAGAGGGUGACUUCUCCUUUUCACUGCUGCUUUACUCUCUCCGGUGCAAACAAGAAAGAAAAAGUGCAAAAGUUCCCAUUACAGCCCGUCACACAUCUUAAACACCCUGCUCCAUCUCCCUCCAUCUCUCCUCCUGGGAGUCGAGAACCAGAAAAUGUGCCAAAAGCUACAGAAUAAAUAACAGAGAGGGGGUCGCUUCAAAUGGAUGCUAAUUUUACGAACACCCCCCAUCACAAGCCCGAGUCACCACUGCACCCCACCACCAACAACUUUGUUCACAUAUUGAUGCGUUCUGCAAUCAACUUCAAUGGCACCAGCCUUCUUGUGGGAAAAGAGAAGACGAUCAAGCCCUGGAAUGGUGGAAGAGGGAGAGAGCUAGAAUAUCAUAUAAAGAGGGAGGAAGUGAAACGGGGGUCCCAGAUUAUUUCUUCACUUGAGCCCAACUACUGCUUUCAUUAGCCCCCCCAUUAAUUAGCCUCCUUCAGCUCAUUUGCAAGUCAAUGGCUGUAGCUGUAGGACCGGCGGCUUUGAGCCACAGCGCCCCUGUGAUCUCUGGGUCCUGCAGCCCCUCCACCCCUCACACACUGGAUACAAGCCUUCCUGACAAUUAGUACAAAAGAGAUGCAUGCUCCAUAUAGCCAAUACAUAAUUCAUAUUUUCUCCUCACUUAAAUAAAUCAUAAUGUUCUUGAGGGUUUUACUUAAACAACAUGCUUUCUCUUCCGCUCUCUCCAAGCUACAGCUCACUCUCCUAGCUGUAAUCCAAAUUAAAUUGAUUUGCAAUGACCUUGCCCCAUAUGUGGGUCACUUCCUCAAUAGUGUGAGACAGCCAUAUCCCCCUCCCCCGCCCCCCGCCCAUCAUCAUUGGUCUGAGAAAAGAGGACAGUUUGUCCACUAGUCUACUCUCGCAUGUCAAAAAAGAUAGAUCAGACCCUUCUAAGAAUUUCUGAUUCAUCGAAACAGUGUCCCACUUCUAUUAUGCAGUGGGUUUUUACUUUUUUCUACCCCACAGACACUAGGGUUGAACGUCUUCCUGAGUUUUGACUGCUCCCUGAGAAAGCGAGCCAAUGCUUCGUCUGGAGGGUGGCGGGCCUCAAUGCCUCGUAUAUCAUCUGCACUGAUCUGUUAGCAGCGUUGUGCUGGACCAGAGCACAGCAGCUGUCUCAAUAAUUUAGCAGCCCUUUGUACUAUUAUUCAUCUGAUUGGCGGGAGGCAGUGUCCAGCUAGGGGCCUGCAUGUUUUAUGACCGCUUGAAGUCCAUUCAGACAAAGGUACCUCCAUGGAAUACUUACAAGAACCAUAUGUAUAUUGAUGGACAUGGCCAGAGAUUGAAUGUGACCAUCUUUAUUGUAGUUGGAAGAGGAGUUCCUAAAUUGUUUUUCUUGCUUUUUUUCUCUUGUUGACGAUGAUAUCAUUAAACAGGUGCUGUCAUAAUUCCUGCUGCAUUUGUCAUGUUAGUUAAUCCUACAAUGCCUGUUUAACUGUAAACUCAUCCAAUCAUUCACAAAGUUACACAGUGUGCUUCAAGAUACAUUAUCCUCCACUUUCUCCAUGCGAAUGAUGCAAUUCAUGCGAAUUGACCAGAAAUGGUCCCCCAAGAGUACGAUCUGAGGCUCCACGUAGACAUUGCCAGCCUGUCACUUGAGACCGGGUAAAAACAUUGCAAUUAGCAAGCAGAGAAUGUUUAUCUGUCAGCCCAAAGACAGGAUGGGAUGGCUUUGAGGAGAAGGAGGGGCGAAGUGGGGUGAUUGCACUGCCCCUUUUAACUGUGUACAGGCUAUUAGAGUAUUUCACAGAACUUAUUUUUAGAUACAAAAAGGGGAACGCCGUUUCUUUUACACCCCCCCCGCCUCCUCCCCUCUACCCAAUUAGCAAAAGAUUCCCCCUUCUUCAGCAUUUAUUACACCUAUUCAGUAUUCUGAAUGUGGCUAUCAGUUUUCCAUAACUAGGCUGCACAAAGAGCAAACGGUCCAUUUGGUGUGAUUUGUUUCCCCGCUUGACCACUUCUUUGUCUCGGCCGGGCUGGCUAAGCGCUGUAGAAUGGGGCACCCCUGCUGUUUUAUCAAGUCUACUGAAUCCGUAAUGAAAUAAGUGAGGGUGACAAUGACAGUGCAGGGAGGGGAAAUGGAAAUAAGAGCGGUAGACCGCCUUAUUUGAAUCAUUUAGGCAAGAUACAAUUACGACUGCACCCAACUGGAUGAAACAACCUAUUUUAAAGACAACACAAAUCAAUGAGCACAGCGAUGGUAAUGUGUUUGACAGAAGUGCCUGUUAGUGGUAGACGACUGCUCUGGAGGAUCAUUACACACCCUGUAGACAAUACAUUAUCACCAAAAGGGAGGAAUGAAAACAGAGCAGUGGGAUGCAAAGAUUGGCCACUGGGCCAUCUGUGUUAUGGCUUUUGGACAUUUUUUUUACAUCUUUCGAGUACUUAUAUAUACGCCUUUAGCCCCAUUGUAGACUAAAUCAAUAAAUGUUACUCUUUCCAAUGCAAGGGUGGAAUUGAGAGACAAUUGUCCACCACAAGAUAAUUUUUAAGUAGCAUUUUAUCAGCUAAUUUUAAAACAAUAAAAAGAAAAGUAAUUUUCAACCGAUUGCCGUUGGUUUCCUAGAGUGCAUUUCAGCAAUUUGUUAUUUACUUCUUAUCAUUUACAAAUACUUUUAUACCUGUAGUAUACUUUUGCAAAAAUAGAAUUAUGCUGCUCUUAACAAAUGAGACAACACUUGGCAUAAUGAGCUACUCUUUUUCUGAUUAAAACCACAUCUAUCACAAGUUCCUUGCACCAACUCUCGAGUGUCUUUGAGUUUGAUAAAAGGAUUAAAACUACUCCAGUCUCAUGGCACAAAAAGUCAACUGCCGGCCAGUCUACAGUCUAUUGAAUUGCCAUGGUAAUUAAACACGUUUUUGUAUAAUGUAUUAUUUAUUCAUGCAAAACGGUCCCCAGCAAUUUAGACAAAUAUCAAAGUCACCAGGACCAAAAUGCUGCUGUUGGUUAUAAAGCACUGAAUGGUUCAGGGCCACAGUACAUUUCUGAUCUGCUGAUAUUUUAUGAACUGCCACGGACCGGUCGUUUGGGACAGGUCUACUUCCUGUUCCCAUAGUCGGAUCUAAACAUGGAGGUUUUCUGCUCCAAAUAUCUGGAAAGUCCCAGAAAGCUGCAGGUCUGCUGAGUUGCCCAGCUCUUAUAAAUCCACAUUUAAGAUUUUUGUAUUUGCCUUUACUUGACCAUUUCUGCCAUUUGGAAUUCUUAAGCUACACUGCAAAUUCUAUUCUAUUUUUAUUCUAUUCUAUUUUUAAACGUCUAAUUUCAUAUUUUGAAUGACUUUUUUUAAUGUUUCAAUCAAUGUUCUUAACUUUUUGUAAAUCUCCCCUCUUUGUGUGUUGUUUUUUUCACAUGGUUUUAUGUGAAGCACUUUGAAUUACCUUGUUGUUGAAAUGUGUUGAAAUAAAAUUGCCUUUCCAACAUAUUAUAUGAGGAUGGGAUAAUUCUGUCAUUAAAACCUCUUUGUUUUAUUUAACAAAAUAAGUUACGUUUAUUUGGUUUAUCCAAUCCAUGCCAAAAGUCCCCAUGAGUAUUGAGUUGGAAGAAAGAGAGGGAAGAUGAAAUAAGGUUGCCUAUAUCUGAUUUGCGGGAUUUAGGUUUUCCAGUCAGUUAGUCUCCACAUUAGAUGAGCUCUAGUAUCAGCCAAGCCCAGUGUUAGAUAUUACUCUGACUGAGCAUGGCACCUCUGGGACAUGCAUGUCAAGCACCAAUGCUUUUCCCCUUUCAUUCUCUCUUUGCGUGUUUUUUCUCCCUCUCUGUCUCUCUCUCUGCCUGGGGAGGAGGCCAUCUGGUGUAUGUUGGUGGAGCCAGCCACGCUAACUGGAGUUGGUGCGGACCAGCCAGCCUGUGUACUGGAACAAAACUCAUUUUGUAUAUAGCCUUGUUUUGGCCACAGAGCGUCGUUGAUCCCCCUCAGCAGAACAUUUUACAUUUGGAACACUCCUCAUUUGCACUUGUACAGACGAGUUGCACAGCGGCCGAGGAGUGGCAUCAUGAAUAAAAUUAUCAUAGCAAAAUAUCAGCGGUGAAAUGAUCGGUGUGUGUGUGUUUGUCGCCCUCCUUCUCUUGCGGAGGGGGGAGAGGAGAAAGUAGACAGUGGGGAUUGAAAAGCAACCGUGAGAACUUGUCAGACAAAAUUAGAGUGAGUGUCUGGGCCGUGGACUCGCUCUGUGGAAAACAAAUAGAGACCCCCAGAUUGUAAUCUCUCUAUCAGUUUUUGGCUCACUUUUUCCACUCUCCAGUGAUAUCCAAUCAAGCUGCCCAGUCAACAUUGGGGUUAUCUUCCGGUGACAUGCCUCCUAAAGGCGGAGCUCAGUAUAUGCAUAUAUUGAAGUUCAGCCCUUUAUAUUUGGCUAUUUCCAGGGCGAGCCUUCUCUGUACCUGAGGCUCUGGCUCUCUAUGGAGGAUCAUUGCUGGCCAUUGGAGCACCAUGCAGGUCCACCCCUCAUCUAUCAGUGACACUUCUGGCUGACAGAGCACUUAUUCAUGCUCACUCAUGAAUAUUCAAUUAACUCCUUCAAGGGUACAAAAAGACAUAUCUAUACACAGGAGAGAAGAAAGCCAUCCCUUUCUCUGUUUGCUUCUUCUUGCAUCUAGCUGUAUCUCUCUUUUUUUCCCACUCUUCUUCCUUUGCCAACCUCUUUAUACACGUACAACUCUUAAAAAUUGGAAGCAAUAUGCAGUACUUAAUUUCAUGCACAUUUUUCAUUAGAGGUGUCGACCAGCAUUACGUUUUUCCCUGACACUUGAGCAAGCCAACACAAUCCUGCACCGUUUGCGCAAAAGAAAAAUCCCAUUUGUCCUUUGUCAGCACAAACACUUUAAUUUGAGGCUUUCACUCCUGAGUAAGCAGCAGAUCUCCUCAGAAGCCUGGAGAGACACAGGAAACGCAUGUGGGUCCUUCAAUCUCUCCCUCAUCAGCAGAGGCCCACUUCAUCCUGCAUGGCCUCCAUGUUUUUAUCAGUCAGCGGGGGCAUGCAUAAGUCAGAAGGAGGGGGAAAGUGCAGGUGUGUCAGCAUAUAAAUAGCCGACACGACCAGCAGUCACUGUGUUGUUGUGAAGUCUUGAAAUGCUGCCUCGCUAGAAAAUCAUUGUUUUCUGAAUUCACGGUAACACAGGAUGACGCACUCCAGGGGUCCCAAAACUGGGAAUUGGUGUAUUCGCACUUCUGAUUCUCUCAAAGUUUGAAUUUUUAAUCUAGUGGCUAAAUUAAACUACCCAACAGCACCACUAGACCACCGGUCUGCCUUUAGCUUAGUGGUGAAGUAAAGUCAUGUGACGUGUUUUAGCCGAUUUACACAUAAAAUGCUAUUGCCAUUGACAGGUCGACUUGGCCUUGUGUUUUGGACCGUUGCCUAAUUAAGACAUGCUGCAUUCAUCUUGCCAUUCAUUUUGACCAAGUUCCCUGUGCCUUUGUAGCCCACACAUCCCCAAAACAUCAGCGAUCCACCUCCAUGUUUCACAGUAGGAAUGGUGUACCUUUCAUCAUAGGCCUCUCCAAAUGUAACGUUUAUGGUUGUGAUCAAAAAGUUCAAUAUUGGUCUCAUCACUCCAAAUGACUUUGCUCCAGACGUAUUGAGGCUUGUCUCUCUGCUGUUUGGCGUAUUGUAAGCGGGAUACUUUGUGGCAUUUGCGUAGUAAUGGCUUUCUUCUGGCAACCUGACCAUGCAACCCAUUAUUGUGCAUCUUGAAACUGCCACACCACAUUUUUUCUGAGAGUCCUGUAUUUCAGCUGAAGUUAUUUGUGGGUUUUGCUUUGUAUUCCGAACAAUUUCUGGCAGUUACGGCUGAAAUUUUGGUUGGUCUACCUGACCGUGGUUUGGUUUCAAGAGAAUCCCUAAUUUUCCACUUCUUAAUUAGUUUGAACAGUGCUGAUUGGCAUUCUCAAUUCCCUGGAUGUCUUUAUAUAUCCCUUCCCUGUUUUAUACAGUUCAAUUACCUUUUUCCACAGAUCCUUUGACAAUUCUUUUGCUUUCCCCAUGACUCAGAAUCCAGAAACAUCAGUGCAUCACUGGAUGAAAGGCGUAAGGGUCUGUGAGGCGCCCAGAAACUCACUGACCUUUUAUACACACACAAUGAUUACAAGCAAACAGAUCACAGGUGCGGAUGGUUACCUUUAGUAGCCAUUCAAACCUGUUUGCGUGCAUGUUAUCAGGCCAAAAUCACCAGGGUAUGUAAACUUUUGAUCGGGGUCAUUUGGGUAGUUUCUGGCAUCAUUAUGAUUUUAAAAGAGUAAAUACGGUUGAAUGAUAAUACAUGGCUUUACCCAACCACUACCCAUAAGUGAAAGUGUAAUUUUGCCAGGGUAUGUAAACUUAUGAGCACAACUGUAUAUAAAUGUAAAUUAAAUUGAAAUAACACAUUGUUAGCACGCAGAAAAAUAACAGUAACAUAAUGACGAACUAUGAAACUGAACUAAGUUUGUCCGUUUAACUAUCCGAAAGUUAAACAUUAGGUUAUUACCUAAUGUGGUCACUUCCUGACAAUGUUGCCAUACUGUGGGCCGUACAGAUACUAAUGACAUUGGUUGAAAAGAAACCGAGGGGGUUAUGUGGAUGUUGUAAAAAAUUACUUACAAUUCAUCCCUUAAAAAAAUAAGAAGUCUGUAGGAAGAGUCUGAGUUUAUUUAAAUACACCUCUGCGGGAAUGAAAGGCCAUUUGGGGGACUGACACUCAAGGGUUUAAUCCAGUCAGUAGCUAUAUGUGAAAGUAGAAAGCAUCUCUCUAGCUCUCUUCUUUAUCCCUCGCAUAACUAUACUUCUGUUUACCUACUAAGUGUUCAGUGAGUAGAACACCAUGAACGCCUUUCGUGAGUGGCUUUAUGACAGUGUGCACCACUAUCCCUAUUUGUGGAAUUACUGUCACUGAGAGGUCAACAUUUCUUGGAAGGAGAUCAGGGAUGCAGAGGCUUUGACAGCUAAUGUUUGGGCUGUCAACAUAAACGUAUUGAUCUAUGCAAUUAAUGUGGCCGACAAAAUAUUUUAAAGUAGUUAACGUACGUUUGUUUACUUCCGAGACCGGGAAUAAGCCGGAAAAUGACCACGGAAACGAAACGGCCGCUAGCUGCAGUCAGUUACAUUAAAAUUGAGAGAGCUUUUAAGUAAAACAAACAGAGGUGCAACAUACAGCCUGAGAACUGUGCAGAGGAUUUACUCCACGUGUCAAAUAGAAGGGAGGUGAGUGACAAAUGGACCACUUGAAGCACUGCUAUGUUAACCUCGCUGCUAGGCUAAGCUAACUUCUAGGCUGCUUUCAUCUCAACAGCUAAUGUUACCCUGCACGGCACACAGUCUGCAGAAGACCACUGUGUCCCUACAAGACCGUGGUUUGAAAACGUCCAGGCCAAAUGUAACAGCCACAGCCUUCAACGUAUGGAGAGUUGAGCAAAGUGCACAAGGACCACAGGAAGUUGUUAGUUCAACGUAUUCCACCUGGUGGAAUUCUGCCUCCAAGAUGAUCAAAUGUGUGUAGUUUUCUGUUUAAAAUCCAUCCAUCCAUCCACACAGGGUCGCGGGGGGGCUGGAGUCCAUCCCAGCCAACUUCAGGCGAUAGACAGGGUACAUCCUGGAUUGGUCGCCAGCCAAUCGCAGGGCUACACAGAGACAUACAACCAUUCACACUCACAUUCACACAUCUACGGGCAAUUUAAAGUCCCCAAUUAACCUGAUUCCCAGAGCAUGUCUUUGGACUGUGGGAGGAAGCCGGAGAACCCGGAGAGAACCCACGCAGACACAGGGAGAACAUGCAGACUCCACACAGAAAGGCCACUGGGCGGAGUGGAACCCAGGACCUUCUUGCUGUGAGGCAACAGUGCUAACCACCACGCCACCGUGCCGCCCCUCUGUUUAAAAUAACAUUAACAAUUAAACAACAGUGUCUGAAAUACACGUUUUCUAAAAUUAUUUCUCAUUAGAUUAGAAGAUUUAGUCUUCAGAAGUAAAACAAACAUUCAUUAAAAACAACAUUGUAACAACAAUAACAUUGAUUUUCGCCAUUAAUCAAGAUCUAUGGAUUUAAAAAUCUGCGAUUAAUUUGUUCUUUUUUUUAAUUUAAUUAAUUAAUUACCUAAUCUGCAGAGCUAUUGUAUCGCGUAUUGUAAUGUAUCGUGUGAAAACCUUACCUUAAACCGUAAAACCUUGACAAUAUAAGUUUUAGUAGGGUGGUGCUGUCGGAAGUCGGACUGGAAGGCAUUGAAAUCAUUAUUUGCGGCCAAGAAGUAGUUUAGCUGUUGAAAAACUGCCUUUUCAAUUAUUUCACUUAAAAAAGGCAGGUUUGCUCAUUUUCCAUUUUUGCGACUUCUAAAUUACCCUUCUAGGAGUUGUUUAAUUACAGUUAACAGUUUUUUGGGGCUUUGGGAAGACACCGGAGAGGAGGGAUGUGUUUACAAAUUGUAAGAGAUAGGUGGUCAUGGAGUUUGAAGUAAUUUUGAAAAAGUCUGUUAGAAGAAUACCUAAGCAGCAGGAAUAUGACUUGAGAUGUUGUAUAAUGUCAUCUAGGCCUGUAUGGUUGAUUGAGUUAAUUUGUGUCAUGGUGUUUGAACAGAUGUUAUUUAGUGUGUGGCAGCCUCAGUCAGAAGGUACUAAUUAAUUUGCACAGCUUUGGAUCCCCGUACUGUUGAAACCAUACCUUGCAUUCAGUUUAUUGGUCCUUUAAAAAUCCAUCCAACAUUUAAGGUGACUGUUUUGUUAAAGCACCUUGUGACGAGCAGGUGAUUUGAGUCUUACUUGUGUUUCUGAUGAUCAGUGUGUGUAGCGCUUUAGGUGUGGUGAGGACUCAAUUAGGGUUUUUUUUUGCUGUGGAUUGCAUUGUUGAUUGCAAAACUGGGGCAAUGAGCAUGGGGUUAGUGCAGACCUCUGUUCUCAUAAUUGCACAUCUGUUUUCCGUUGUUUGCUCUUGUAAUUGCCUCCAUCUGAGUCAUCUCUAUAGAGGCUGACUGCAGGUGACUGCAGGUAAAACAGAUUUGGAGGGACAACUGGCAAGGAUGUUUUGACAAAUUCUCGUGGGCACACACAUGCAGUGAGUGUAUACAUAUGGAAUACACUUUCUACACAGUACUUUGUCCUACACUUGAGCAUCAUCUAGUGGUGGAAGAGAGUCUGGCAUACAUCAGAAAGAAUGCCUCAAAGGACUUUGCAGGAUGGGUUGUUGGUUAGAUAUAAGACUUCAAGGACUGCCUUUUUUCAUCUACGUAACAUCAAAAAUCAGGAACUUCCUGUCUCCUGCCGCACAUGCUCCGCCCAGGUGGUGCUGUGGAUAAUGACGUCGUCCAGGUAGGCGGCAGCAUAUGCAGCGUGCGGACGCAGCACCCGGUCCAUGAGGCGCUGAAACGUGGCCCGGGGCCCCAAACAACCCGAAGGGAAGCGUGGUAAAUUGGUACAAACCGUAUGGGGUGGAGAAUGCCGUUUUCUCCUUGGACUCUGGCGACAGAGGAAUCUGCCAGUAGCCCUUGGUUAAAUCCAGUGUCAUGAAGAAACAUGCAGUGCCUAGCCGGUCCAGGAGUUCGUCGACCCGGGGCAUUGGGUAGGCAUCGAACCGUGACACGUCAUUCGCCCUCCGAUAGUCCACGCAGAACCGUACAGAUCCAUCCUUCUUAGCCACAAGGACAAUGGGGCUGCACCAGGCACGGUUGGACUCUUCUAUUACCCCCAACUCCAAUAUACUCGCUAAUUCCCUCCGAAGCACUUCUUUCCUGUGUUCGGGCAACCUGUAGGGCCGUGACCUCACCGUCACGCCCGGGGGCGUCUCGAUACUGUGCACUAUAAAGUCGGUCCGGCCUGGCAAGGGAGAGAACACAUUAGCAAACCUGCAACCUGGCAACGUCCGCCCUCUGGCUCUCGGAGAGACGAGCCUCUCGAAAGAGCAAGGUAUGAUUACCUGCUUUUGGAACCUCCGGCCCCAGCUCCUCCCUUUCCGAUGCCGUAGAGACCAGAGAGACGGACUCCACCCCACUCCAGGCUUUCAGGAGGUUCAGGCGGUAUAUCGGUGUACCCCGCCCCUGUCAGACUGCACCACCUCGUAGUCGACGUCCCCGACCUGCCGUGUGACCUCAAAGGGCCCUUGCCACUUGGCUAGGAGUUUAGAGUUGAGUGUAUAAAGUAAUACAAGUACCUUUUCUCCCGGUGUGAAUCGUCGCAGCCUGGCCCCUCUGUCGUACAGCCGUUGUUGUCGCUCUUGGGCCUGCAGCAAAUUCUCUUGUGACAUUCGGCCCAGUGUGUGGAAUUUUGCUCGCAGGUCCAGGACGUACUGGAUCUCAUUCUUGCAGGGGUUUGGACCUUCCUCCCAGCUUUCUUUAACCAGGUCCAGCACCCCUCACGGCAUCCUGCCAAACAAAAGUUCAAAGGGAGAAAAAUUCCCGUGGAGGCCUCGGGGACCUCCCGCACUGCAAACAACAGAGGGUCAAGCCAGUGGUCCCAGGGCAUACUGGAUCUCAUUCUUGCAGGGGCUUGGACCUUCCUCCCAGCUUUCUUUAACCAGGUCCAGCACCCCUCACGGCAUCCUGCCAAACAAAAGUUCAAAAGGGAGAAAAUCCCGUGGAGGCCAAACAGAGGGUCAAGCCAGUGGUCCCAAUUACGUUCAUCUUUGCUAAUAAAUUUACGGAUCAUGAACUUCAGAGUCUUAUUCAUACUGUGACGGGGUGAAGAAGGACACAACACGAGGGUCACAGUGAGUACCCCGAAUGGUGGAUUUUAUUUAGUGGCUCUCCUUCUUCCUCUCUGUGCGCGGUGGUGUGUGGGUCCGUGAAGUCCGUGGGGAGACGUGGGCUCGCGGUCACGCACUGCUGUCUGGGGAAAUAACAAAGGUAAUGUUAGCCGAGGCUUGGACAUCUUCCCCCUCUGUGUGUGGCUGUGAGGCUUAUCAAGCCAGCCUCUGAUCAGGCGCAGGUGUGGCCGCUCAGCCCGUGAUGAGCGGGUGCAGGUGUGUCUGCUCCGUUUCCCGGGAGACGCUGACGACAGCUCAGGACAUUUUGUCACAAUACACUCCACCAGCCCAUCCGUCUGCGGGUGAUACACGCUAGUACGAAUGGACUUAAUGCCCAGUAACCCGUAAAGUUCUCUCAGUGUGCGCGACAUGAACAAGGUGCCCUGGUGAGUCAGAAUCUCCUCAGGGAUUCCAACUCGGGAGAUGACCUGAAACAGAGCCUGCGCGACGCUCUUUGCAGAGAUAUUGCGCAGCAGCACUGCCUCCGGAUAUCGCAUUGCGUAAUCCAUGAGGACCAACACAAAGCCAUAUCCGCGUGCGCUCCGGGAAAACGGCCCAAUGAGGUCUAUGCCGAUCUGCUCGUACGGAACCUCCACCAACGGCAAAGGACGCAACGGCACCCUCGGAAUGGGCGGAGCGUUCACUAACUGACACUUGGGCGGGACGCGCACCGGCGGCUGCCUGGCCAAUAAAAUCGGGUCAUUAUCCGGUCUAGCGUUUUUUCGUAUCCCAUGUGACCAGCCAUCAGGUUAUAGUGAGCCACCUGGAAAAUCAUUUCCCGGCGGCUUUUCGGCACCAGCAACUGAGUGUUUUCCUGCCCCGUCCGAGUGUCACGACUCACUCUAUACAGUCUGUCCCUAAUCAAUGAAAAGUGCGGAAAUGACUGCGCUGCGUCAGGGCGCACCAGGUGACCAUCAAUACGUAUCACAUGGUCCGCUCCGCGGGUUCCCCCUCCCCGUCUGCAGUGUCGGACGACCCCGCGUCACCGCUGAGCACAGCACACAUCUCGCAUAACCCUGUUGGUCGUGAACGCCCCCCCAUUAGCUUAUCAAACCCCGACCAAUCUGUACCCAAAAUGACGGGGUGCGUCAGGCGGGAGCUAACCGCGACCUUUAUUCUAUGCUUUUUCCCUGUAUAUCUAAUUUCCACCAAUACCACAGGAUACUCGUGAACAUCCCCAUGCACACAGCGUAUUCUCACCCGGUCUGCCUCCACCAAUGCUCCCUGCCGAACCAGGCUCUGGUGAAUCAUAGACUGCGUGCAGCCCGAAUCUACCAUCACCUGGCGUGUACCCCCCUGGAUUCUUAGCGGAACGCGGUACGUCGCUCCCGGACCGGGGGAGGGUGCCGGAACGCCGGCCACUCGGAUCGCCUGUCCCACCUCCAUCAGCGGGCACUCUCUCCGGAGGUGACCAAGCCGCCCGCACCUCCAACACUCCUGCCCCGGCGCUUGAGAACCUCUCUGUGAGUUGAGAAGGGUGCCUGGGUUCCCCGGGGCCGGUGGGUCGCGGGCUGGGGAAAAAGGUGCCUGUCGCAGAGCCAGUCUGGGUUGCUCCUCCGUCCGCGGCAGCCUCCCUCCCCGCGGCGCAGCUCCUGGUCGGGCAGACACCGGCGAACUCUCCCGGUCCCUCUGCCCGCUGGGAUGCCCCGCCAGAUGGUCCUCUGCCAGGGUGAUGGCCGCCUCCAGGGUCGUUGGACGGUGGCACCGGAGCCACGCCGGCGUCCGGGCCGAGAGCCCCCCGAGAGCCGGGCUCCCCGAACUGCUCCAGCACCACCCGCGCAAUCACCCCUUGGACCCCCCGAGCGCCGUCCGGCUGCAGCCACCUCGUGGCGGCGUCUAUCAGCCACUGGCCCAACGCGAACAGGGCGGUCCCGCGGCCCCAGCCUGGCCUCCCGGAACCGCCGGCGUGGUUCUCCGGCGACAGCCCCAGCCUGUCCGUCACGGCCUUUUUGACGUUGCCAUAAUCGCGCCGCGCCGCCGGUGGCAGCCCCAUAGCCGCGGUCUGCGCCUCCCCAGCCAGGAGAGGCAAAAGCCGGACCGACCACUCCCCCGCCGGCCAACCGCAAGCCUCCGCCGUCGCCUCGAAGGCCUCCAGGCACGCCUGUACGCCGUCGUCCCCCGCCAUUCAGUGGAGCGUGAGACCGGCGAACGCCGCGGGCUCCUGCGCUGGCGGCACGGACUGCGGUCAGCUGCUCCAGCGCCUGUCUCCCCACCUGUGCCUGGAGCGCCGCCAGGAACAGCCGGUUGGCCUCUGUCUGCUCCCGUUGGAUGGCCGCCAGUUCCCUGAUCAUGUGGCCGAGCGCCACAAUCGGCUGGGCCGGUAUCCCCUGCUGGUGGUUGCCAUCGGUCAGUUCCAUCCGCCAGUCACGUUGGGCGCCACUGUCACGUGCGGUCCUCUUGGGGGGAUGGGAAAUGAUGAGGAGACAGCGUACUGGUUUAGCAACAGUCUUUAUUGAACCGUUUUUGGACAGCACACACGAUCGGCUUCAUAGAGCCCAAUGUUGAACCUUUACCUGAUGAAACCUGACAUUUUACCUGCCUUUUAUAGUCAUGUAUGCUAUAUCAGAAUGAUAUUAAAAACGAUCAUAUAGAGACAGUAACGGUACAAUAUUGGAACAAAGUAAUGUAUUGGUGUGAACCCUGUUGUGUUGCUGCAUGAACUCAGGGGUUGACUCAGCUUAGUAAUGUCUCACUCGAGCUGAAGCUCUGUCCAAAGAGGACAACAGACCCGUCCCUCCGCCCUUCUUCCCUCUGUCUUUCCCUUUCUUUUUGUUUCCUAUAUUAUUUAUAUGACCGCUUUAAAAGGCGGUCUCCGUAGCGACCCUGGGACCCCUGCUGCUGUCGACCAGGUCCUCAGUAGCGUGCCUGAUUGAUGGCCAUGGGGCGGCCAUAAAGACUAUCUGCUGUUGCCAGAUUAGGCCAGACAAAUGCUAGGAAUGUUUGUUUGCAAGAGAGCAUUUGGGACUCAUUUUCUGCACUCAAAUUUACAGAACCAGCCCAUCCUCAUAUAACAGUUUGUAUCACAUCUUACUCAAUUCAAACAAAAGUUAUUCAUUUUUCGUGGGUUAUCCUACAGCAACACGUCUCGAUUCCCAUGCAUAUUGUCUUUUCGGGAAGCUUAGUUAGCAAUACCAUGAUAGGUUUAGUAAAACUUUGGGUGGUAAAAGUAACUACAUGAGUGGGGUUAUUUUAGCAAAGAGGUAAUGUGAAUAAAUCAAUGUUUACUUCUUGUUUCACGAGGGGAGCAAAUAGCAGUCUUCUGGUUGAAGGGUUUUCAUAGUUUUCUAUGCGAUGAAGCGAGGUGGAAUUCAUAUUUGAUAAUAUCAACGUAACAAUUACAACAUUAUGAAACAUAUGUAGAAUUCAAUCCGAAAGUAUUUAUAGAAAUCUCGAUUUGUUUCUAAUUAUUGCAUUUUAUGAUUAUGUCACUGCACUGUGACACUGUUACUAGAGUAGUCAACUUUUCUCAUGCUCAUUCUGCCUUCAUGCAAUUGACGACAAAUAAAAAUGUGGGGUAGGGGAGGUCACAGUGUUUCUGUUCCGUCCAUGGAUACUGCUGAGCCUGUUCUUCUGGGAAAAGCCUUCAUCGGGCUCCACAUGUAGGUCACCGGGCUUUUGUGGGCAAUGAUGCGAGAGACCACCAAGUGUUUGACGUUUCCAUACCAGUCUUACAAUCCCCAGGUUGUCAUGGAAAUACACUGGGUGGCAGUAGCAGUGAAGUUACAGUGGAGGAAAGAGCAGGCAAAGGGAGGAGGGCAAUUAGCCCGCACUCUUUUGUAAGUUUCUGCUCACUUUGGCCAAGGCUGUUGAUGAAGAGAGAUCUGACUAAUCUGAGUGUUUGUUGACUUCUGGCAAGAAACAGGACGCAUAUGAGCAAGUUGUCAUAGUCUCCUCAGGGUCUGCAAGUCUUCCCUUUGGCCAAAACACAUGAGUUAAUAGAUGUUUUAUAUGGCUUUACCUACUGAGAAUGCCUGAAAAACUAGAAUUUCUGACGUGAAUUCCCCUGAAGGCUCUGUGAGGUAAAGGCAGUUUGCAGAGUGUGGUGUUGACUCAGAGCCAGUGAAAGAGCGUGUGAGUGUGAUCGUGUAAAGAAACACUCUGCCCCUUCACUCCAGCCUCAAGAUAUACUGCUGUUAAUGUACAUAUGAUAAGAGAAUAGGCAAUAAUGCACCCAAGCAUGUUUGAGCCAGCAGAUCAAGAACACAUUGGGAAGAUUCACAACAGACAUUUUUCAAAUGUUUCAAGUAGUUACGUAGGUCAGUGUUACGUCAACAUGUUAUGUGAACGUGUUGCUCUGGGAUGCACAGGGAUAUGCCUGCAAUUCUGUUGACUGCCAGUGUUCAUGACCGGUAACUCGAUUAUAAUUGACCGCGUUAUAGCACCCGUAUUCACCAGCUGUCAGCUUUACAAGAAGUUUACUAUUCCACAAGCAGCGUUAGUGGUUGCUUCCAUUUCUUCCUUUUCACAAGAUUUCCAAACUCUUUUCCAGAAAUGUAUUUGGUAGGGUAUUGACUUUUUGUCAUUCAGAUAGGUAUAUAUUAAAUUACACAGACUCAAAUGAUCCUAUGGUCACACCUGUAAUAGCUCAUUUUGUGGGUAGAAGAAACAAGUUUUUAACUUCCAACAAUCAGUGGGUCACCAAACUUUUGUUGAAAGCAUUUUAAAACAUGCCCUAUGAAUUUAAAAUUGAUCGAUAUAUAUUUCUCUUUCUCUAUAUAAAAACAGAAUAAAAAUAAAAAUUUGAGUAGUGCAAAGUCUUUUGGCUAUUGGAUCUCCGUCCUGAAGAUAAUCAAUUACUAUUCCCCUUGGAGUCCAGACCCUGGAGUCGUGGUGAUGAAUGAGCAGCAUGACCGGGAUGGUGAGCGCAGGUGAGUGGUGGAGGAGGCUCACAUCCGAUCCGGUUAAAAUUACAACUGACAGGAAAACAUUUCUUUAAAGUUUGACAGAAAUGGUGUGAAUGGCUUAUGGAAACUGCCGCAGCUGUUUGGUGAGAGUAAGACUGAUGGAUUCAACUUAAGCUUCAUUAUUUCCAUUUUAUAUGACUUCAUACUGCAACUUUUCUCUUAUUUACGGGAAAGACCGGUGGGUUUCCAGAUUUUAACAUAUAAAGAUCACAUUUUUUGUUGCCUGAUUUAUUAUUAUUAUGUCCUGAGUUCCUUUACUUCAGUAAAAGUAGAAGUAUAUAUAAAUAUUUUGUUACCAGUAAAGAUCGCAGCGAAAUGUCACGUGUCAUAGGAUGCUUUCCUUAUUGCUAAAGGCUUUACAUCUUUAAAAGCCGCAUUUGAAUGUUUCAUCUGCUUAAGGUGUAGCUGAUAUGAACUUCUACAUUGUUUGGUAGUGUAACAAGCGUUCAUCAUUUUUUAAGCUGAUUGUAUAUUAUAUAUUUUGUAUUUUUACUCAUACAAAAAAAUCAACUCCAAAGCAAGAAAACAGAAAUGAUUUCUCUCUUUCCCGUUCGCCCACGUGCCAACGUAAUAAAAAUAAGAAGCAGAAUUGGAGAAAUGAAUUCCACAUACUUUGAUUAUCCAGUCCACUGCAGUGGUCAGGAUAUUUUACAGAACAGCCAUCGAAACAUCUGCCAUUUAUGUAAUAAGCUAUUUGUAACAUUACAUUUGCAAUAGGUCUAACAGAAGAGUAAUGUAAACAUGCCAAUGUGAGCCAUUGGUGUUCAUAAAAGAACACACAAAGACAGGAACAUUAGUAGGAUCACUACUGUCGGCUGUCGACGAGCUUUUACUUUCUACUUUUUUUACGAGAGCUGAUAGAAUACUAGUGUUGUUUUGAUAAACUUGUAGUUUUUCUUACAAAUACGCUAUCAUCAUGGAUAUCACCAGAAAUAAGUGAAAAAAGUUUGUGUACUAUAAGUGAAUGUAUAUAUCUAUAGCCUUGCACAGCAUGUUACUGCUUUGCACUAUUCCAAUGUUCUGUUCACCUCCUAUUACUAAUCAAAAUGAGCGUGCAGUAGCUCUGUAAUUACCUUGCAUGUCAUCGUUCAGUAUAACCCUUCCCCAUGAACAUCUUGUCUCUUUGUCUUCACACACACACCUGUCAGGACACAGACUGAGAUCAGAGAGAGACUGAUCAUGUAGAGCCUGAAUAGCCCUGAUGCCCAGAACUCAGUGGUCCACAACCAAACGGAUUGAGACAAAGCCAGUCAUUGCUAUUCCACCCAAGUAUCUAACUGAUCAAGAAGACAAAGAGUCCUGCACACGGCUCUCCCUCAUGCCCUCCUCUUCUGUCGCCUGUACAUCUAACUGAACAACAACGGGGCUUAAACAAUAUGAAAAACCAAGUGUUUACUGGCAAACAUUUGCACGGAAGAUCAAUGGGUAGGUAACAACAGAUUCCAAAAGGUUUUUGCAAAAACUAUUAAAGAUUUCUGUUCUUAAAAAUCAAACCUUUGGAAUAAAAGAUACAUAUUUAAAGUUCAAGUUUCUUAGCGGUGUAUAACUCUGCCUUAGAUGCUUGUCUUAAUACAAGCCCUAAAAACGGUACAUGCUUAGUAAAACCAAACAAAUGUAAUUUUCAGUUAACAUGUACACACGAAAAGUUCCAUGAAACAUUUUCAAACCCACAGGCUUUGGGGUCACUGCAAUUUAUAAUAUGUGCUUGUACAGCCGCUCUUGCUUGUCCAACAGUAUGCUACAUUCAGCAGGUACAGAACUAACAUCCCACAUCCUUGUGGGUCACCAAAGGGUGCUAACUUCAAGUGUUCUCCACUGAGAAUAAACACACACAAGUAAGCAAAUGUAUGAACAAAGAUACAUGAAGAAAAAGUCUGAAUAAAUUGUAGUCAUUCAGUGCUACAGCAACUGAACCAUGUCUGUGUGUUCAAGAGUACAAUAUGUUUGUCAGCAAUAGAAAGUGACAGACACAUUUUCUUUCUCUUUACCCCAAAUCUGGAUAUGGGGCUGAUAUGCUUGACUCUUUGUU
ensembl:lncRNA